UCUUUGUCAACAAAACAUAUUAUUUGAUCCUCUUACAGAUUGUAAAAGUAUGUCUCAUGCUCUACAGAUUGUCAACCAUCUUAUGCUUGUACUCAUCAUCGACUGCUAUAUGUUAUAAGGCACGAUAACAAAUUGUCCUUCAUCACCUCUUGCAAAUCUCACAACCUCCAAUUCUUGAUGCACUAAAUCGACUUUCACCACGACCAUUUCUGUUCCCUCGCCACCCCUGCUCGGAUGAAGAGGUGACUGAAAAGAAAAUGAUAUAAGUACAUCAAACAAUCAGAUCAGGGCUGUUGACAAUCCAGAAAUGCCAUGAGUCAUACUGGUGUACAUGAAUAACCAAAUGCCAUAUACAAUUGUCCUGAAGGGGGUAAAUAGAAAGUUUAACCAAAGUAAUCUUACAACCUCAUAUUAGAGGUUAGAUAUCUUUCACGGCAAUUACGGAAAUGAUGAACACUCUUACAGUAAAGGGAGUCAGUGGUGACAACGGGAGGCACACGCGUAGUCGGCGACAACUGCGCGGAUGAGAGGGGAGGACAGGGGGACUUAGUUUGUGCUCCUGUAGCUACACGAUGGAAGAAGUAAAAAAAUCAGUGUAUGCUCAGUCCAUGCAACAUUAAAAGUGCACCCAAAAAAGAAAAUCAAAAACUCAGUUUAUUCUCAUGGUUCUUUACUCAACACUUGCUUGGCCAUGUUGCUCUUUCCCCGCCUAUUCGCUGCACGUCACAAAAACACAUGCCAAAAGAAAUCUGGAAUACAAUGCCUAAAAAUUUGGAAUAUAAUGCCACAAAAACUUGCAAAAUUUCUUUUAAAUAUGAAUCUCUACUCUCCCCUGUUCACGAAAAUAUGUUGUGCUCUAGCUAGUCUAUACAGAUCAUACAGGUUCUAUUGAUUAGGGGGUCACUAAUAAGUGGAGAAAUAUGUAUAGAGAGAUAUGGGCGAGAAAGGCGCAGUACCAUUGCCUAUGUAACGUAUUAGUCUAACAUUCAUCAGUAUUAUAUACCGUGAAAUGUACAAGUCCACAUUGCAGACCACCCAAACAUGUCACAAUCCCUAUAUUAAGCUGAUAAAGCAAAUGAACAACCAGUCAGAACAUACUUAAAGUCAGGUCGAUUUACAAAUUGCAGGCAAUGAUCAAGAGUAGGUGAAUUACUAACCAAAGGAAGCCUCCAGAAUCAAAUCGAGCAUGACACCAUCAUGGACAUCAGGUUGAAGCGAUCUAUUUUCUAGAUAAUAUACCUUGCAUUUCUGUAGUAAUAAAGCAUGAACAAUGAUUGGAGAUUAGAAGAAAAAAUGAUAGAAAGAAAUAGUUGUGAGAGAUCUUGCAUUCACAUUUCAUGUAGCACAAUUAGAGAGAGAAAAGACAGGCAAAUAUAAAAAAUAAGGCCAAGAAUUGUUUUCUUAAAGCCUUAAAAUGAACUGGUAAAGAAAAACAAACCCCAUGGAAGAAAAGAACAAAAUAUGUGCUUCAGGUAGAAGCAUCAGUCACCAGGCUCACAUCCAAGGUUUUUGAGUCGCCGACUAAUCGCCAAGUCGUUGGAGCGAGGUUGGCUUGCACAGGCGACUUGGCUUGAGGAGCGAGUCGCGCGGCUGGUAGGCUAGUCGACGAUUAGUCGACGACUAGUCGGGCGACUAGGACCUCAGAGCAGGGCGGCUUGCUUCAGCAAGGCCAAGGGAGGGAAGACUGGGAAGGUGAGGAGGCCAGAGUUUGAGGGAGGGGAGGAGGAGACGAAGCUGGAGAGUGCGCCGCCUGUACGAGAAGCACGGAAGAGACGAAGGAGAAAGGCACAUGGGAGAGCAGAUGCACGGUCCAGAUUAGAGCAUAUGGACGGUUGGGAUUUUAUUUGGAAGCUAGGGUUACAUAAUGGGCCUAUUGGGCCAGCUCUCUAGCACGAAACAGAGGAGCAAGACGCGUGCUCCCAUCCCACAUCAGAAUCGCCGCCUCCAUUGCUCCUACGAGCUGCUGCUGCCUUCUCCGAGCUGAAGUAUCCUCCAAGCAGCUGCCUUCCCCCUCCUCCGCGUGCAACAGCACCUCUUCCCCCUCCUCCUCCUCCUCUUCCCCCUCCUCCUCCUCUUAACACCUGGGGCGACUUGGGGGCGAUUAAUCACGACGAGUCACAGACUAAUCGCAGCGAGCCACUAGUUGGAGGCAUGGCGACUCGACUUGGCUAGGCGACUCAAAAACCUUGCUCACAUCAUUGUUCUUUGCCAUGGUGCAGGCUUUGGUGCUGAAUGUAGAAUCUAGGCUUCCUCCUGACUACCCUUCUAAUGGUAUCCUCUCCUGCCUCAAUCUACGUUGUGUGGAUACUUCAGAAAGCGCACGUAUCCAGCCGGAUACUGCCCCGAUACGUAUCCCGUAAAUAUCUUUCGAUUUUUUGAUUUUAGAAAAAGAAAAUAAUGUUCGAUACUCCUGGGAUACUGCUGCGAUACGUUUUGGAUACCUCAAACCCCUCGUUCAACCUGAAAUCCCCUCAAUAGAAAAGGCGCACGUUUGAAGAUUCCCAACAUGGGCGUGAGUUCAUGUCAAAACAUGACUAUCAAUGUUCUUGUUCACCGGCCAUGUUGCUCUAAUUUCCCCUACGCCUAUUCACUGCACGUCACAACAACACAUGCCAAAAGAAAAUCUGGAAUAUAAUGACUAAAAAUUUGGAAUAUAAUGCCACAAAAACUUGCAAAAUUUCUUUUAAAUAUGCAUCUCUACUCUCUCCUGUUCACAAAAAUAUGUUGUACUCUAGCUAGCAUAUACAGAUCAUACAUGUUCUAUUGAUUGGGGGGUCACCAAUCAGUGGAGAAAUCUGUAUAGAGAUAUAUGGGUGAGAAAGGCGCAGUACCAUUGCCUAUGUAACAUAUUAGUGUAACAAUCAUCAGUAUUAUAUACCUUGAAAUGUACAAGUCCACAUUGCAGACCACCCAAACAUGUCACAAUCCCUAUAUUGAGCUGAUAAAGCAAAAGAACCAGUCAGAACAUAUUAAAGUCAGGUUGAUUUACAAAUUGCAGGCAAUGAUUAAGAGUAGGUGAAUUACUAACCAAAGGAAGCCUCCAGAAUCAAAUCGAGCUGACACCAUCAUGGAUCAUUAGGUUGAAGCGAUAUAUUUCCUAGAUAAUAUACCUUGCAUUCCUGUAGUAAUAAAGCAUGCACAAUGAUUGGAGAUUAGAAUAAAAAAGGAUAGAAAGAAAUAGUUGUGAGAGAUCUUACAUUCACAUUUCAUGUAGCACACUAGAGAGAGGAAAAGACCGGCAAAUAUAAAAAAUAAGGACAAGAAUUGUUUUCUUAAAGGCCUAACUAAAAUGAACUGGUAAAGAACAACAAACCCCAUGGAAGAAAAGAACAAAAUAUGUUCUUCAGGUAGAAACAUCAGUCACCAGACUCACAUCAUUGUUCUCUGCUAUGGUGCAGGCUUUGGUGCUGAAUGUAGACUCUAGAGCUUCCUCCUGACUACCCUUCUCAUGGUAUCCUCUCAUGCCUCAAGCCCCCAAUCGACUUCUCCAAUCUCCAACUUGCCCAUGUGUUGCAGCAUGUCCCAAAAAGAGACAAACAUGAGGUACUGCGUCUUGCCCGGGACAUCAACCUAUGUACAAAAAGAUUUCUUAGUAUUAGUUCAUACUCCGUACUUCAUAGCUGGAAGAAAGUAAUAUUAAAGGAAUGGUUCAAUCACAGUAUAACCUAGAAGUGUAAAAAUUAAAGAGAAACCUUAACCUUUAGAAGACAACUUUCCCAACUUUGUGCCAUCCGCUUCUAGACUUCACAUGCGCACCACGAUUGUGCUACUUAUACAUGCCUAUAUUAGAACAGAUUCGGCAGAAAGCAGGUCAAUUGGCAUGAAGAUAAAUAUAUAAGGGUGUAUGUAAGAUCUCACAUCCGUAAGUACUCAACCGUUUUUUGUGCGUCCACACUCUGCAAGCAUUACCAAAGAUGAGUGGAUCUAGUUGAGAGUUUAAAAGCAAGGUGCAUAUAUUCAGAUUUUUUUAAAUGUUUUGGUAUGUUUUAUUGCGUGGGUGCACCAAGGUGGGGUUCAGCCACUACUUUCCCUAUAUUCAAAUGUAAGUCAUAUUGGCGCACAUGCAGCUCUACAUCUACACUGAAGUCUGAAUUUGAAAAAAGUUGAAAUAGAUAGUAGUGUCUACACUCUUCAUGUAGAUCACAAUAUCACAUUAUAAUCCUCUACAAUGGUUACAUGUAAAGCAAAUUUGGAGGCAUAUACAACUAAAAAGUAAAUCAUUGUAUCAUGGAAAUGACAUACUAAUAUGGACCAUGGAAUAAAAUACUAUUGGAAGGCAUGUCUGCAAGGAUUGUUUAGAAACUUGAUCACUGUAUCAUGAAAAUGAUAUUGCAAGAGCUGACCUUUCCCUUGUGCACAUUCCCAUGCUUUGACUAAAAUAGAGCAUUUGCAGUUCCUGCUUGGAUGCUCACUUUCUUUCUGUUUACUCACUUCAUAUGCUAUCCCCCGAUCAAAUCAACAGCUAGCCAACCAGCUCUACUUUUGCAGUUUGCAUUGAACACUCCAAAGGGAAAGUUAGAGGCCACCCAUGGCUUCAAGGAUGAGGUAGUAACAGCAAGGUCGAUGAGUAGCGAGAGCGCACCAGACACGGCCGCCCCAGCCCCUCCUCGACGGCACCACGGAGAUUGAGCCGCUACCGCACAGGGAGAGCCUAAGGAGCCGGUCAAGGAGACAGUACUGGCACACGUCGUUGUAGACACAAGGAGAUAGUACGGUCACACUUCAUCCUCCAUUAACUCUAACAUGAGCAUGUAGGCGCCUGCUACAGAAAACGGGCGUGUAAAAAUCCGCACGAGGAUGCAAAGAAAAUGGACAGUAAGGGGCCUUCUUUGUUAAAAAUGGUGCAUCUAGUUGGUUAACAAACUGCAGCUCAAAGAAAAAAAAUCAAUUACUUGGUAAAAAUGUCCCGAUAAUUCCUGGCCAGAAGCUAUGUUGCAACAAAGAUUAAUCUUAAAUUACCAAUCACCUCCAAGCAUGUUCUUACGUCCAGCCAAAGCUAUGACACCUUCAUCAGGAAAUAAUAUAUUUCAAACAUGAGUACAUGACUCACGUAGCUAGUUCCAUAUACAUACCCUGGGUGUAUACACUACUGCAAUUUCAGGCGACAGUGUGAUGCUAUCCAUUAGUGAAGCCCCAUGAAUCCUCCAUUUAUUUAUUCAAUCAAGGCAUUUAUAUCUUCCCCCAUUCUCCUAUCAUCUAUAUUCUCAC
rnacentral:lncRNA from 1 species